rnacentral:rRNA from 1 species
GACGGAGGGGGCUAGCGUUGUUCGGAAUGACUGGGCGUAAAGGGCGCGUAGGCGGUUUUUUAAGUGAGGCGUGAAAGCCCUGGGCUUAACCCAGGAGGUGCGUUUCAUACUGGAAGACUUGAGUACGAGAGAGGUAAGUGGAAUUCCUAGUGUAGAGGUGAAAUUCGUAGAUAUUAGGAAGAACACCAGUGGCGAAGGCGGCUUACUGGCUCGUAACUGACGCUGAGGCGCGAAAGCGUGGGGAGCAAACAGG